rnacentral:rRNA from 1 species
CCUACGGGAGGCAGCAGUGGGGAAUAUUGGGCAAUGGAGGAAACUCUGACCCAGCGACGCCGCGUGCGGGAUGAAGGCCUUCGGGUUGUAAACCGCUUUCAGCAGGGAAGAAGCGAAAGUGACGGUACCUGCAGAAGAAGCACCGGCUAACUAUGUGCCAGCAGCCGCGGUAAUACAUAGGGUGCAAGCGUUGUCCGGAAUUAUUGGGCGUAAAGAGCUCGUAGGUGGUUCGUCACGUCGGAUGUGAAAAUCUGGGGCUUAACCCCAGACCUGCAUUCGAUACGGGCGAGCUUGAGUAUGGUAGGGGAGUCUGGAAUUCCUGGUGUAGCGGUGGAAUGCGCAGAUAUCAGGAGGAACACCAAUGGCGAAGGCAGGACUCUGGGCCAUUACUGACACUGAGGAGCGAAAGCGUGGGGAGCGAACAGGAUUAGAUACCCUGGUAGUCCACGCCGUAAACGGUGGGCACUAGUUGUGGGGACCUUCCACGGUCUCUGCGACGCAGCUAACGCAUUAAGUGCCCCGCCUGGGGAGUACGAUCGCAGNUUAAACUCAAGGAAUUGACG